rnacentral:rRNA from 1 species
UACGAAGGGGGCUAGCGUUGCUCGGAAUGACUGGGCGUAAAGGGCGCGUAGGCGGUUCGGCGAGUCAGAUGUGAAAUUCCUGGGCUUAACCUGGGGGCUGCAUUUGAUACUGCUGGGCUUGAGUGUGGAAGAGGGUCGUGGAAUUCCCAGUGUAGAGGUGAAAUUCGUAGAUAUUGGGAAGAACACCGGUGGCGAAGGCGGCGACCUGGUCCAUAACUGACGCUGAGGCGCGAAAGCGUGGGGAGCAAACAGG